AUAGAUUAUUAAUUACCUAGAUGUCUCACUUCGGGAUUUUGCCAUACAUCCAGUUGGCGACACCCCUUUAGCGCUCCGCGCGCCACCACAGUCAAGUUACAGGUACUAAAUUGCUAAACAAAAUCGUAGCACUCUGCACUUUUCGACCAAAUGUUUCCUGACAUCAAAAAGUGUCACUAACUUGCUUUGUUUUAAACGGUUUCCAUGAUACCAACGGAGGUGGUGGCGGUUUGUGGCGGAGAGUUAGUUGCAACAAACGAUUUUCGCGAGGUGUAAACAGGGACUCUGCCGGGAACUGAUGGUCCGUUAAUGUGGAGUCUGCAGCAGCAAACUGGUUGCGCCAAUUCAUGGGAUUCGCGUCGUUGAAAAGUUGAUGUUCGAUAUAAAGGACCAGGCGUUGAUAGCGGAAAUGGCGAUUGACAAGGCCGCCACAGCAGUUCCCAUCCCAUGUGUCGUGUCCCCAACAACUUGAAUGAAACCAGCCCCGUUCCUGGCUGAGUACCUCAGGCCCAAAUAAAAGAGAAGUCGCACAAAGUUCAGUUAUGUAAUGUGAAAAAACAAGAAUAAUAAAAAAAACUAGAUUUUUAUUUUA